GCCUACGACCAUCUCACCCUGUAUGCGCCCGAUCUCGUCUGAUCUCGGAAGCUAAGCAGAGUCAAGCCUGGUUAGUACUUGGAUGGGAGAAUGCCUGGGAAUACCAGGUGUUGAAGGCU
ensembl:rRNA 5S_rRNA 5S ribosomal RNA